GAUGAACGCUGGCGGCGUGCCUAAUACAUGCAAGUCGAGCGAACAGAUAAGGAGCUUGCUCCUUUGACGUUAGCGGCGGACGGGUGAGUAACACGUGGGUAACCUACCUAUAAGACUGGAAUAACUCCGGGAAACCGGGGCUAAUGCCGGAUAAUAUUUAGAACCGCAUGGUUCUAAAGUGAAAGAUGGUUUUGCUAUCACUUAUAGAUGGACCCGCGCCGUAUUAGCUAGUUGGUGGGGUAAUGGCUUACCAAGGCAACGAUACGUAGCCGACCUGAGAGGGUGAUCGGCCACACUGGAACUGAGACACGGUCCAGACUCCUACGGGAGGCAGCAGUAGGGAAUCUUCCGCAAUGGGCGAAAGCCUGACGGAGCAACGCCGCGUGAGUGAUGAAGGUCUUCGGAUCGUAAAACUCUGUUAUUAGGGAAGAACAAAUGUGUAAGUAACUGUGCACGUCUUGACGGUACCUAAUCAGAAAGCCACGGCUAACUACGCGCCAGCAGC
rnacentral:rRNA from 1 species